UUAAGUCCCAUAACGAGCGCAACCCUCAUCGUUAGUUGCCAUCUGGUAAAGCAGGGGACUCUAGCGAAACUGCCACCGUAAGGUGAGAGGAAGUGGGAUGACGUCAAAUCAGCACGGCCCUUAUGUCCAGGGCUACACACGUGUUACAAUGGCCGGUACAGAGGGCAGCUACCUGGUGACAGGAUGCUAAUCUCGAAAACCGGUCUCAGUUCGGAUCGAAGUCUGCAACUCGACUUCGUGAAGCUGGAUUCGCUAGUAAUCGCGCAUCAGCCAUGGCGCGGUGAAUACGUUCCCGGGCCUU
rnacentral:rRNA from 1 species